UGGGGAAUAUUGGACAAUGGGCGAAAGCCUGAUCCAGCCAUGCCGCGUGUGUGAAGAAGGUCUUCGGAUUGUAAAGCACUUUAAGUUGGGAGGAAGGGCAGUUACCUAAUACGUAUCUGUUUUGACGUUACCGACAGAAUAAGCACCGGCUAACUCUGUGCCAGCAGCCGCGGUAAUACAGAGGGUGCAAGCGUUAAUCGGAAUUACUGGGCGUAAAGCGCGCGUAGGUGGUUUGUUAAGUUGGAUGUGAAAUCCCCGGGCUCAACCUGGGAACUGCAUUCAAAACUGACAAGCUAGAGUAUGGUAGAGGGUGGUGGAAUUUCCGGUGUAGCGGUGAAAUGCGUAGAUAUCAAGAGGAACACCUGAGGUGAAGACGGGUUGCUGGGCUGACACUGACGCUGAGGCGCGAAAGCCAGGGGAGCAAACGGGAUUAGAUACCCCCGUAGUCCCUGAGCGGGCUGGCAAGGCGCAU
rnacentral:rRNA from 1 species